AAUCAAUUUAACAAUUUUCAGUCAUCAAACUCUGUAGUACAUUUCUUUCCUUAACCUGUUCAGAAUACUGCAAUCUCUUGGACUGAGAAAGUAGUAUUUUAUUUGCUGUUAUUUUUCAGUUUAAAAUGCAAAAUAAAAAUAUUUUAGCAUCAAAAAUUCUAUAGUAUGACAUCUUCUGACUGGAGAAAAGGCACUUUUUCUUACACAUGAAAAAAUGUACAGGAUGCAAUAAUGUCUGACUGAUCUUCCAUGUUUCCUGACAUUUAGGAAAGAGGAAUAAAAGGCUCCGAUGGAUCAUGUCUGUGUGGAUCAGUUGCAGCUUGCAGCAUUACAGCAGUCACACCUGUGUGCUCCUGGGGGUGCAGCUAUAGGUGUACCUGUGUUAAGAGCAGGGGGUCCUCCAGGUGUGACGCUGUACACCUGCAGAAACUCUUGUGGUCGACUCCCUCCGACAAUGUUGAAGCCGAAACCUCGAGGCCCUUUGGAGAGCCGAGUGUGGAUGGAGUAACCACGCAGCAGGCUGGGCUGUUCUGUGAAAUCUGGGACUGUCAGGAGAAAGAAAGUGUGCGGUGGGAGAUUGUUGAUAACAGAGAAGUUUCCAGACUGAAUAUGACUCACAAUAACAGAAGCAUCACCAGCAGGCUGACUUACGCUUGGAGCAGGACGCCGUCUCUUUGCUCUGCACACGAGGAUCCACCCAGCUUUUCAUCUUUGUCACGUGACUGACACAUUGAGACUCGGCAUCAUUAUAUGCAUCAAUUGCUGCCAUUGUACAUUCACCCUCUGUGCUCAAAAUGAUCUUUAUGGAGUAAACACUGGGAAACCAAAUGUUAUGUCAAUCUUUGCAGCCUGUGAGAAACACAGGAAAUAAACAAAGAAGUAACCUGA